rnacentral:rRNA from 1 species
GCAUAUUCUGUGAGCAGGAAAGCAGGGGAUCGCAAGACCUUGCGCUCUUUGAGCGGCCGAUGUCAGAUUAGCUAGUUGGUGAGGUAACGGCUUACCAAAGGCGACGAUCUGUAGCGGGUCUGAGAGGAUGAUCCGCCACACUGGAACUGAGACACGGUCCAGACUCCUACGGGAGGCAGCAGUGGGGAAUUUUGGACAAUGGGGGCAACCCUGAUCCAGCCAUGCCGCGUGAGUGAAGAAGGCCUUCGGGUUGUAAAGCUCUUUCGGCCGGGAAGAAAUCGCAUGGGUUAAUACCCUGUGUGGAUGACGGUACCGGCAUAAGAAGCACCGGCUAACUACGUG